rnacentral:ncRNA from 1 species
CAACCUCAACUCAUAUGGGACUACCCCCUGAAUUUAAGCAUAUUAAUUAGGGGAGGAAAAGAAACUAACAAGGAUUUUCUUAGUAGCGGCGAGCGAAAAGAAAUCAGUUCAGCACUAAGUCACUUUGUCUAUAUGGCAAAUGUGAGAUGCAGUGUAUGGAGCGUCAAUAUUCUAGUAUGAGAAAUUAACGAUUUAAGUCCUUCUUAAAUGAGGCCAUUUACCCAUAGAGGGUGCCAGGCCCGUAUAACGUUAAUGAUUACUAGAUGAUGUUUCCAAAGAGUCGUGUUGCUUGAUAGUGCAGCACUAAGUGGGUGGUAAACUCCAUCUAAAACUAAAUAUAACCAUGAGACCGAUAGUAACCAAGUAGAAUCCACCACAA